CCUCUGCCCUUCCUCACACAGGCACGGGACAUUGUACUGACUUAGGGUUAGGAGUCCUCGCUGGCUUUGUCACCAGACAGCUCUGGGAUGUGCCCCAGAGCCAGUUCCUUGCCUCUCUCUGAGCCUGGGUCUUCCCUGCUGUGAACUGGGAUGACGACUCCCCAAGGUCUGCUGGGACACACUCUGUACGCGGCACCGGGGAGGCAUGCCGUGAAGGCCGGUCCCAGUCUCCGUCUCUGAAAUGAGGGUGAGGGGGCCUAAGGCGGUCACUGUGCCAGGGUGAUAAUAAAUCAGCUCUAACUUCUCGAUGACCUCAUCCCCUGGAAGCCCCAGGGGAAGGCAGAGUACCCCCAGAUUUACUCACAAGAAAUUCAGGGUUGAGAGUUCAAUACCAGUGAGAAUUCUCUGGCUUACGGUCUGGGCUGCAGAUGACAUCGGUGCGACCAGAGGAUAGCGGACUCUGCUUUCUUGCAAGAGGACUUGGGGCCUGGGUCACGUGUCUCUCGGUGAGAGGCACUGUGGCCGGCUCCCCAGGCAUCAUCUGAUGCCUCCAAGGACCUCGGGGAAUGACUGUGUGAUCUGAGUUUUAUACUGAGACAAGUUGGUAUAAAGGCAAGUCAUGUGAAACACACACAGUCACUCGGGAAUAAUUACCAUAAUGACACUGUGACCUUAACCACAUGCUGAUAACUCCCAGCCACUCAUCACCACUUGUCUCCGUGGACCCUGCAGCAACUGGCUGGGGGGGGGGGGGGGUUGCCGUCAGGGAGACAGGGAGCUGGGGCUCCAGCGGGGGGUCGCCAGCUUGAGGUGAGCAAGUGGGCACCACCCCCACCCCAUCUGAGCUGUCGGCCCUUUGCUGAGAACCGACCGAGUGAAGUCUUGGGUGUGUGGGUGGAUGUGUGAGCAGACCACACAUUUCACAGCACUCAGACCCAAGACGUGUGUGCUCUUCUGCACGUGCCUUCAA